CAAACUAUAGAAUUAUUAUGGCCAAAUAAAUUUUCCCCAAAUUUUAACCUAAAUAAUAUUUGCCAAAAAAAGUAUUUAGAAAUUUACGGUGAAAAGCUAAGCUAAUUCUCACUUUUACUCAAUCGAAAUUCCCAAAACCCUUUCUCCGUUGAAUGGUUUCAGCAAUUUGAGAUCGAAGUAACAGAGUCCCCGGAGAUGGAGUCGAAACCCUAGAUCGUAUAAGUGAGUUGCCGGAAGUUCUCCUGGUACAAAUUCUCUCUCUCUUUUGCCGACCGAAGAUGCCGUGAAAUCAUGUGUUCUCUCAAAGAGUUUAAUGAUUUCCGCUGCCAACAUGAGCUACGUUAUUUGGGCAAAGGAGAUGAUAUUGAUUUGCAAGCUUUGGGUUCCCCAAACUCAAGAAUGUUAAGAUUAUCAGCUUUAAAGGAUCAGGAUUUGACAAGCUUUUGAAACUUUCAGAAUCUCUGCAACGGUUUUGGACAAGUUCGUCAUAUCAAAGAGCACAAAGUGUGAGAUAGGUUCAACCAACUGUGUGUCGACAUGUUUAUCUCAAAUGGCCGAGAAAUUGUUAGGUUACACAAGAUUUUGCAUUUAGUAUACAUAAAUAGCCUAGCCGCAACGUAUUUUUAAAAAAAAAAUAAAAAUGAGGCAAAUGGCUGCAAGUUAAAAUGCAAUGUACUAGACAAAUCUGAAAUAUAAUGACUUCAGUAAACGAUUUUAUUGAAAAUUAUGUAAAAUUUAUUGAGAUUACAGUAAA